GCCGGUUAGCUUUUCAUAGGGCGUCGGUGCGAGCGCAUAUUGGGGGGGGGGGGGGAAGAGGCGAGGGCGGUUGACAGAGAGAUUAUUGCCAGUAUUGGUUUGUGUGGGUUGCUGCUUUGAUAUUGAUGCUUUUGCAGUGGAAGCUUCAGGCCGGGGAAACUUAAGCCUUCCUUUCUUCCCCGCCAGACCCCACCGUCUCCUUCCUUUGCUAGCCCUCAUGCCUGACAGAAAAGCCGCCACCCCCCCCCGCGCCCCCAGUCCUUCUGGAGUUCAAAAGCUAAAAAAGAUAAAGAGUUAAAAUCGAAAACAACUGAACUAAGCCCGAUUUCCUGAGAAAGAAGUAAACUUUUUAAGAAGAAGCCGUAGAAGAAAGCCCCGAGAAGUACUAAAGAAAACAGUCCUUAAGAUAAGUGAAUAGCAUUUAGGACUGUAAACAUCUUGAUGGCCAUAUGAUAUGUUCCAUGUAGAAAAUUCCCUGAAGUGUUUAUAUAAACAGUUUGUGCAGAGCAAGCCAGCAUACAGGCACGCAAGACAGGCUCACAAACCAUGAGCAAAGCAAAACUUUCAUGGUAGGAACGACAAACAAAUGAUGCAAUUGGCACUAAUUUAGACCAGGCAGCAUGAGAACCUGGUAAGCAUUAAUCAUCUGGCUUCUGAGCCUCAUCCUGAACAAUCUGCAGAGCAGUGAAAAAGUGGAAGGCAUACUUGAUUUCUAACUGAGUAAUGCCGAACUGGAUCCUCAGCUGCCAGAGAGAUGCUGCUGAGCAAGAUGAAAAAAAGGAUCAGAUAAGCAGUGAAAGCACCGGAUAACCAGAGAAGAAAGGAUGCAGUAAAAAGGGCUGGGAAGCUGUUCCUUCCUAUAAUUUUGAAAUAUAAAUAUAUAUAUUGGGACUAAAAAAGAAGCGGCCUCAUUGGAAUCAGCAAUAUUGCAUUCAGAUGGAAAGUUUGCCCACACCCAUUCUUUCCUGCUCUUAAUUCAUUCUUCAGUCAAGCUCUGGAGAAAUAAAAAAUAAAAUGUGGCGCGCCGGGUGAAAUCAUUUUCUUCACAGCUGCUCUAGGACAGGCAGAACAGAUGAUAGGAUUAAUUCUCCAUUCAACCUACUGUCCUUUUUCAGGUAAUAUGGCCAACCAAUGUCACAGGGCUAUUUGGAGUUCAGAUUAAUCCUUUCCAGCCUGUGGAAUCCAGUGAUUAUUGGAUUUAACCAUCCACAGGAUACCCCUCUUGUUAGGUUCGGCCAAUGAAGAGGCAGGAGACGAUACAAGUGACAACAGCUCUGUAGUUUAUUGUGAUCCCAGCAAAAGCCAACAGGCAAAAACCCCUCUUUAAAUAGUUUAUUGGCUGAGGCAUCAGCCAAUCAGCAACGUGCAUUUUCCCGCCCAAAUUUCCCUCCUAAAAUUCAAAUACAUUACACCUCCAACCUGUUUAAGCACAUUGUACAAAUAUGGCCCUGUUACCACUGUCCAAAUCUUCAAAAGCAAACUGAGCUGUGAUCAUUUCCAUUGCUGCAAACCUGAAGCAAUAAUUUGUUUCUUGCAGCUGCUCGAACGGAGGUUGAAGGACCAACAGCUCGGUCAGUGCCUUGCCUUACCAUCACGUUAUUUGUUUGUCUAAAUUUCUUGAAAUAUAAGCUAUUCAAAUAUUUAGGGAGUUGAAAAAUAUAUCUACAAUUAAUUCCAAAUACUGUAGACGAACAGGAUAAUUUAGCUUUGGCCAUUAAUUCCUGUAAUGAAUUACCCUUGAUCUUUGUUUAUACAAUGAAUUGCUGAUGAUAGACGGUUGGAAAAUAAAUAACCAAGAUCAAUGCUAAUCUGACUAAUCUUUUGAACCACCUGUUUAAACUACAGAUCUACAAAGGAUACAUUUGGGAUUUCCUGAAGCAAUCCUUCCAUGUUUUUAAAAACGUAUCUUUUAGUAAAUAUCAAAUAGGCUUUUUAAAAGUCAGAUUAAAAGUGUAUAAAUGUGCAAAUGUGUAAUGUGCAAAGCAGGAGUGGGUUCUACUUACCUUUACUACUGGUUUGCAAGGGGAGCGUGCACGUGUGCUCACUUCGCUCACUUGCGCUUCUGCGCAUGUGCAGACUGUCAAUUAUGGCGGGUGGGCGGAAUCUCCCACCCAGUGGUGGGUUGUCCCCGGUUCGGACUGGUUCGGAAGAACCGGUAGUAAAAUCAGCAAGAGGCUCUGCCCACUGACCAUUAGAAUAGAAUAGAAUAGAAUAGAAUUUUAUAGGUGAUAUGCGCAUGCACAGAAGAGCACACACAGGCGUGAGCAAAGUGAGCAUGUGCGCAUGCAGGGGCACGAUGCAAACCAGUAGUAAAGGUAAGCAGAACCCAGCCCUGCUCCUGCCGCUUUUACUACUGGUUAUACAGAACCGGACAGAACCAGGAGCAACCCACCACUGGUGCAAAGCCAUCAAAUAUGGUAUAUAGUAGAUUUUUUAAAAAACCUAUAUCUCAAAGAUUUUUUGGUAGCAAUUCCAAAAUGGUUGAUCAUAUUUUAUUGUAUUGUGAAUUUUACAAAGGUCUUCUGUAGGAGGUUAUUUGGCCUAUUUUAAAAGCUAAAGGAGGAGAUUACCAAUAGAUACUUCUAAGUAUGUACAAAUUUUACUUGCAGAUAAGAAUCCUAAGAUUACAAUGGCAACAGUCAGAUUUUUUUUGACUAUAGCUUUAAAAAGAAGGCUUUUAGUA